rnacentral:rRNA from 1 species
UACGUAGGGUGCGAGCGUUGUCCGGAAUUACUUGGGCGUAAAGCGCGCGCAGGCGGUUUCUUAAGUCUGAUGUGAAAGCCCACGGCUCAACCGUGGAGGGUCAUUGAAACUGGGGAACUUGAGUGCAGAAGAGAAAAGCGGAAUUCCACGUGUAGCGGUGAAAUGCGUAGAGAUGUGGAGGAACACCGGUGGCGAAGGCGGUUAGCUGGGGUCGGACUGACGCUGAGGCGCGACAGCGUGGGGAGCAAACAGG